GAUGAUCACUUAUAAUCAUUUUAUUAGCCAUACUAAGUUCUGUUAAUCACCAAUCCUGCUUAGCCUUACUUUUGUUGAUAUCUAAUUGAGUAAUUGUGUUUCAACGACUUUGACAACCGCCACACAACCACUCCAAGUUCUCGCCGCCACAAUCAAACCUUCAACUCACGAUUCAGCAACCGCACCACUACCGCUCACCAUAGUUCGGUUCCGACUUCCGUGUGACCAUCCGAACCGCUAAUUGUGUCUCCGGUUGGCUCUGUUCUAUUAUUAAGGAUGGUGAACAGGCAAACGACGACAUUAGUCAUCGUGAAAAGGCUAGGUUAAAGGAAAUGCAAAGGUUGAAAAGAUAAAAGAUACAAGAUAUACUGGUUCAACAAAAUGCUUGUAUUGAGGCUGAUAUAGUGAUAUGAAUAACAAGGGAAAAGGAAAAUUGAAGUUGAAGGGAAGGGGUCGUCAUGCAUCGAAAAUGACUGAAGAAGAAUGAGGUGUAUCUUAAGGAGGAAGAAGAUGGCUUGUCUGGAACAGGACAUACACGUUUGUUAGUGCAGCCAUCUUGUAAUCCAGAAAACAUGGAUAAGAGAGAAAUAUGAAGUUUAAGAUUUUUUUUAAAGUCCAUUGCUAAUGUAGUUCAUAUGUUUUGGGUCUUAGGAAAACUCAUAGAAACCUUUUCU